UGCACAAGCCGCACAUUCUUAUCUUAUUAUACAUGGGAGAUGUUCCCAAUAAACGGUGGGAUGUGGCUGAGGUCGGUGUAAGGAGUAGAUCCAAUUCUGAUGCUGCCCCUAUCUGUUUUGCGUUUAACCUGAUACACUGCCGCCGCUGCAACUUCCGGCAGCGGUGGUGUUUUCUUCCCGGUCUUCCUCUUUCUUUUCCAAACCCUUACUAUUUCUCCUCUUUUCGCCUCCCCGGCUCUCUCUGGAUCGCUCACCUUUCCCCUGUUUUCUGCUCCUCCACCGAACAAACGCCAUAGCACACCACUGUUACAACUCCACCUCCGGCGCUCUCACCCCAUUCCAUUGAUCCUUUCUCGUUUAUAUCCCUUCUCCUGGCCGCAUCUCUCUCUCUUUCUGACACACUUCUCCGCCGUACGAAUCCCACGGGCGGCACCCCCGUUCUGGUGUCUCCGCCUGUAACUAAGACCGAGGACCUUCGUUCUGGUGUCUCCAGUAGAUAUCCUCUAUUGCAACGACUGCCGCAUCCCUGCAGAAUGUUGUUACAAUGGACAUCUUGAAAUUCAGGCAGUUUGGACCCACUAGCAUUGGCAAAGUUUGACCAGUCUAGGUCAUUCUCAUAACUAUUUAAUCUCUACUCUCUAUUCUCUUUAUUGUUCUAUUGCCCCUUCUCCUUUCUAAAAUGGCAUCACUUUAUCAAAUUGUUUGAAUGCCAUUUGUUCAUUCACGGGGUUGAAGAUGGAAGCUAUAUCAAUUGCAUACAGAGGGAAAGACCAUCCUGGUUCUUGAAGAAGCUGUCUUUGAAGUUAAAAGAAUUAAAAAAAAAGAACAGAAAAGAACUAUUACUUACCAGGAAAAAAUACAUCAUUCAUUUUAGACAAGUGAAACUCUAAACUUGUAAUUGCAGCUCUCUAUCUAUGCUAAUUAUUCCUGUCCCAUUGUAUGUUAGAUCCCAGUUCUACCCCAUCAUGCAUUCAUAUUCCAAAGUCUAAACUGUUUUGGUUGAAAACUCAAGAAAACACUAAUUGCUUUCAAACAAGAAAAGUGUCAUGAAAGAAAGAUCCCACAAGAACCACAAAAACAAUAAAGUAGACAGAGCCGCAUCUCUGCUAAAGACAUGCACCUCUCUUUCUCAGCUCAAACAGAUUCAUGCUCACAUGAUCCGAACUUGUCUCCAUCAAAACAACUCCUUGGCUUGUACUAUUGUUUCUCUGUACACUAGUCUCUCUUUGCCUCACUAUAUCUACCGUGUUUUCUCCUCCGUUUCCCGCCCAAGCCUCUCCCUCUUCAAUCACACCAUUAAGGCUUUUUCUAAGGUUCCAUCACUUUGCAUUCAUUCAGUCCAUCUUUACCUCCAAAUGAUCCAAAAUCAAUUCAAACCUGAUAAUUUCACAUAUCCAUUUCUCUUCAACUCUUGUGCUACUCUGUCAGCACUUGAUCUAGGGGUUGAAAUCCAUGGACGUGUUAUCAAAACUGGGUUUCUAUCAUAUAUUCCAGUUUCGAAUGCAUUGAUUGACAUGUAUGGUAAAUGCAACAUGUUAAAUCAUUCAUACUGCACAUUCAAUGAAAUGCCCAAAAGAGAUGUUGUGUCUUACAAUGCUCUUUUAGGAGCCCAUGCAAAGCUUGGGGAAGACAUGGGAGGUGCAGAAAGAGUGUUCAAUCAGAUGCCAGAAAGAAAUGUGAUAUCCUGGAAUGCAAUGAUUGUUGGGUACAUUAAUGCUGGAGAUUUGGAUUCAGCAAGGAGAGUUUUUGAUGAGAUGCCUGAAAGGAAUGUAGUUUCUUGGACAACAAUGCUAGUAGGAUAUACAAAGAAUAGUUUGGUAAAGUCAGCUCGAAUUCUCUUUGAUGCAAUGCCAGAGCGGAAUUUGGUUUCUUGGACAGCAAUGAUUACGGGGUAUGCACAGAAUGGACAGCCCAGUGAAGCUCUAGCACUCUUUUGUAGAAUGGAAAGGGCAAGGAUGAAGCCAGAUGCUGUAACAAUGACUGGUGUAAUCUCUGCAUCUGCACAGUUAGGAGGCAUAGAGCUAGCAAAUUGGGUUGGAUCUUAUGUGGAUCAAACAGGCAUUGAGCGAAAUGAGAGAGUUCUCACUGCAUUAGUUGAUAUGCAUGCAAAGUGUGGAAACAUGAAAGAAGCUUGUCGAAUAUUUGAGGAGAUUCCUCGUCCUGAUGUCUUCUCCUACAGUGCGCUCAUAACAGGCCUUGCUUCUCAUGGACAUGGAAUCAAAGCUCUAGGGGUUUUUCGUAGAAUGCAAAUGCAUAACAUUGAACCAGAUUACAUCACAUUUAUCGGGGUAUUAACGGCCUGUAGCCAUACAGGGCUCGUUGAAGAUGGAUUAAAAUUUUGGGAAAGCAUGGUAAACGAUUACAGGAUUGAGCCAGGUGCUGAUCACUAUGCUUGCAUUGUUGAUAUGCUUGGACGUGCUGGGCAACUUGAUGAAGCCUAUGAAUUGGUCAAGAGGAUGCCAAUGGGUUCACAUCCAGGAGCUUUGGGUUCUCUUCUAGCAGCAUGUAGAACAUACGGCAAUGUUGAAAUUGCAGAAAGUGUUGCCAAGCAGCUCUUCAAGUUGGAACCUGAUAAUACUGGGAAUUAUGUGCUUCUUGCCAGUAUAUAUGCUUCAAAUGAGCAGUGGGAUGAGGCCACAAGGGUCCGGACACUGAUGAAGGAAAUAGGGGUGAAUAAGCCUCGUGGAUGCAGUUGGGUUGAGGUUAAUAACAAGGGUCUUGGUUUUCAAGCAAAGGGUUGAUCUACAAAUAUAAAGUCUUGUCACUCAAAACGCUCUGCACAGUUGGAGGAGAGGACCACCUGCAACCAAAGAGAGAACAGAAGCACCAGAUUUCUAAAACAAAAGGACAGAAAACCAUUAAGUGGUAGCAGCUCUCACCAUUCUCCUUGCAUAGGAUGCACCAGUGCGGGGACAAACACCAAUUUGGCCUUUUCCUUUGAACUUCUCUGUGGAUUCGACGCCCAAAACUACGCUUCAACGAUCGCUUAGACAAGGGUAAUAAUUUUAGACGAGACACCGGCCACCAUAUUUUGGACAAUGUACAAAGAAAAGGAAGACACACUGGAAGAGUAGAGUCACUAAAAAGAGAAUGUCUAAAGGUCCUUGAUUUUGCAAGGUUGUCUGCAAGUGAGUUCCACUCUCUUGGAAUCCAUGUGAGAGUUGCAUCCACAUCACCCUAAGGGUCUCUGACCUCAGCCAGAUAAUGGGCCAGCUUCCAAGGGUCCCCAUCUUUCUCUCCUAGCCACUUAAUUGUGUUUUCAUGUCACUUCUAAUGGCUAUGCUUGUAAGGUCCAAGUCUUUAGCAAUUCAAAUACCUGUGAGGGCUGCCAGGACUUCAACCUUAGUGGAAUUUGCUAUCCCUAUUGGACCAUUGAAGGCCCAAUGAAUGUUUCCAUCCUUCUUUCUGAUCACACCACCAAUGCCAGCCAUCCCUGGGCUUCCUAAAGCAUUACCAUCAAAGUUUAGCAUCAAUCCCUCUCUUGGAGGGGUGAAUUGAUGGGACUGUCAAAGUGCAAGGAUAAGAGUAGAGGAAGAAUGUUACAUUCCUUUGUAAGUUCUUUAAGGAAAUUCAUUUAAAGAUUUCACCGUUUAC